AUGAACGCCAGGCCCACGGUGGCUUGGCAGGGGAGGUGGGGGGGAAGCUGUGACUGACCUUUUCUCCCAAAACGUUGACAUUUUCUAAGGCUUCUGAGCACUCGAAGUCACCUCCAUGGCUGGGACAUUGAUAGGAGCGGAUUGAUGAGGUGUCAUUAGAGGAGAGACGCCGUGGCCCCAGUGUUUGCUGGGAGAAUACAGCAGGUGUUCUGACAAGGACACACACCAUCACUGUUAUUUGCCAAACAAUUCUCUUGAUUCACUAAAGUCAAGCAUGCCAGCAUUUCUUUAUAAAAAGAAAACAAGGCUGUUUUUCAUAGCCACCCAGAGGAGAGGUCAUCGCUAAAUUGCAUUUCUGAAUUACUUUUCAUUUCGCAUCAAUAUAGUAAAAAGGUUUCUAUUAUUCCUCCCCCCUCACAUCCUCCUCCCCUCUGCACCCCUCCACUCUGCCCCCACCUGGCCCUGCCCAGAAUCCUCGUGGCAUGUAAGCGGAAAAUAUUACGUGAUGGUGGAGACAGCAUGGAUUAGAUUUAGGGCCGGAGGACACAGGCUCUUUUCCUGGCAUAGCUCUGAACCCACUACAGGCCUCUCGAGAAUCACUUCCCCUGGCUGAAUCUCUCAUCUAUGGGGUAAGUUAGACUAGAGCAUUCCUCAGUCUUUAAUGUGUAUACUCAUCACUUAGGGAUUUCGAUUCAAGGAAGAGUCCGAUCAGUUGGUCUGGGUGGGAACAGAAUUCUGCAUCUCUACCAAGCUCCUGGGUGAGGCUAGUGCUACUGAUCCAUGGAUGACCCUUUGACUGGCAAAGGACUGGAAAAAUUAUUGGACAAACGCUGUGUAAUCUAGGGUUUCUAUAUGAUUAUUCAUGAGAAAGCACAUCAUG
rnacentral:lncRNA from 1 species